rnacentral:lncRNA from 1 species
AAAAGAGCUAAGUUACAAAUAGAUUAAAAAAAAAAAACAAAAAACUGCUCUUCCUAGCAGUUCAACCAUUACGAAGUGUUAGCAGCUAGCAGAAAGAGACUAGGGUGUGAACAGUGGCCUCCUCUUAUAAAGAGUAGGUUUUCCCAAAGAAAGAAAUAUAACAUUAUUAUGACUCUCCAAUAUACAUGACUGCUUGAGUCAUUUUGUUAAUUUUCAAUUAAAUACAGCUCCCGUUUUCUGUUUCAAUGAGUUAACACAAUUAAAAUUUUCAUAUUAUUUUCAUCCUAUUUGUAAAAUAGUUUAUAUCAGAAUGUGUUUUAGGAUGAAAAUGGGUCCACAAAAAUGGGGUAAGGAUAAACUUGAAUAUGAUUUUAAGUUUAGUCUAGAUAUAGUGUUAUAGGAUAGAAUUUCAAAGAUCGGAUGCCAGAUUUCAAUGCUAAUUAAAGUGGCUAUGACAUUCAUUGCUCUAUUUAAUUGACUUAUAGCUGGGAUACUGACCAGGCCAUUUCUGCUCCCUAGAAUGCCUUUAUGCAAAUGAGACCAGGACAUGGCUUGGCAAGCAGAGCAACGGGCUGGAUUCCAGUCCCUACUUGUCCAUUUGGCCAGGCAUUGUUGUGUGGUGAACAGCCAGCACAAACGUACUCAGGGGCCCUGGGUUGCAAAUUCCAAUGUUUAGGCGGACAAGUGUUAGAUAAUAAGGAGUGCAAAGAAUGGGCAGACUAGGGACCCCAUUUCUAGUCACAGCUCCAGCUACUGUUUACAGGAGGGAAAGUAGACGCAGUGUUUCCAGACCUCCCAAGUUUUGAAAGAGGCUGGAAGUCUAAUUCAGUUUAUUUAACACCAUGGACCCAAGCAACAUGUGUGUGAGGCCCAAACUGAAAUUAUGGACUAGAUGCUUGUGACCCUGAUUUAAGUGCAUCACAGCUGCUUACUCAGAUUCCAUGGUUAUCCUGAUCCUGUGGGACUUGGGAAUGUGUGAGCUCUUGGAGGUGAUGGUGCAAGUGAGAGAUGUGGGACAGAGGCUAUUUGUCAUCCAAGGGGGUGAUGUGCAACUAAUUAAAGGCAGACUGGCAGCGUCUGCAAAUUCUAAGGCUCCCCAAAUAAAAAGAGACUGGGCGCCUUCUCAUCAGGACUUGAAGUUUUUGCACUUGGAGUUUGGGCAUAAAUGGCUCAUUAAUCUAAUUAUAAGCAUAAUUGCUAUAAUUGAUAUCCAUUUUGAACUGAAUAUUUGAGACUGAGACUGCUGGGCCCCCAUUUGAAAUUCCCUGA